rnacentral:lncRNA from 1 species
AAUAAACGACUAUAUAUUUAUAUAUCCUAGCCUGCGUGGUCGUAGGAAUAAUUCCCGAUCCAUGGCUUAUAUAUGUAUACUAUCUCUAUAGCAACCUACGUGGUCGUCGAGUGAAACUCCGAUCCAUGGUUUAUGUAAAUAUCAAAAUAUACUAUUAUAAAUAUAUGUGGGGGUUGUGUACAACUAUAUGUGUAUGUGUGUGGAUGAACUAUUCUUUAUGUGAUUUGUGUUUAUUGUGCUACACUUGAUUGGAUAUCAUUGCCGUGUGUGUGUGUACGGCCGUGUAACACCCCACGUGUUCAAAACACGAUAAUAAAAACUCUAGUCACGUAAAUACUAAAUUUUACCAAAAAUAGGGCUAUACGUGAAUUAUUGAUAUCCAAAUUAUUAGAUAUCAAAUUUAUUACGUGACCUUAUGUGCCCAUGUGUUUCGGUAAUUAUGCAUGCAUAUUAGGAAUUAUCAUAAUAUAUAAUAUAUGAAUAUAUGUAUGUGUGUGCCGUGUAUGUGUGUGUAAUUAGGGGUGGAUUAUUAAUUAAUUAGAAAAUAAAUAAAUGAUUAUCCUAAAGCCUAGCCUAACCCCUAUUAACCCAAUCCUACACUCCAUCUCUAGCAUGCUUAACUAGAAGGUCAAGAGUCCCUCUCUCCCCCUCAUUUCGGCUGCACCCAAACCCCCUCCUUCUUCAUUGUUCUUUCCUCUUUCAAACCACCGAAACCACCAUUGAUAGCAGCUCCACCAAAGCUCGAACCACCCCAAAAAUCAGCAAGAUACUUCUCAAACCAACCAUGAGAAUUCCCUAUCUCACCCUUGCCCUUGAAUUCUCCAAGAACACUAUAAAUACAUGGUGCCCCUUCACGAAUGAGAACACUUCUCACCUUGAAAUCUACACCGUGUCAUUCCACAUUAAGGUAGCUUGGCUAAAUCUGCAAGCUUGAAGAAGGUAAGAAGCUGCCAUCCCAAGUUCUUCCACCUCUUCUUUCUUCUUCGUUCUUCCCUUCUAACUUUCGGUUUUUCUUUGAAGGUUCCCAAGAACCUUUCCCCUCUUCAUCUAGCUUUCUUUCCCUUUGUUUUUUCAAGGUAAGGAAUCGAAAUCCUUGCUGCAAAUGGAGGUAUCAAGUACAAAAGAUAAAAAUUUCGAAAUUAAUUAAAAGACACCCCUAAUUCUUGUUUUGUGUUAAUUCUUGUAUUUACUUGUUCCUUUUCGUUAGUUCAUAUGAUUUAUUUUAUUGCAUGUAUGAUCAGAGGUCUUAAAUGGUAGAUUUGAGUCGAUUACCUUCAUAGAUGUUUCGGUUCUUUCGAAAAAUUGUGAAAAAAAUUGAAUUUGGAAAAGUUUUGGGGUUGCAUGUGUAAAUCGGCAUAUUUUCGGGUCAGAUCUGCAAGUUGUGAGAAGUCAGAUUCAUAUAAGUUUCAAAAAUGAUUUUUAGCAUUUAUUGAACUGAAAUUUCAGAUUUAGGGAAAUUUUUAAGAAAAGAGUAAUUUUUGAACUUCUAGUGGCCUUGCAUGUAUGGAUCUAAAAGUUUUGGGGUGGAAAAUGGAAUUUUCAAAGUUGUUGCAUAAACUAAAAUCUUAAUUUCGUUUUCUGCAUAUUUUUGAAUAAUGAUUUCGGAUUUUUGGGGAAUUUUCUUGAAAAAGUGGAUUUUGAAAUCAUAGUAUUGUUGCAUGUGUUAUUUGAAAGAGUUUUGGGGUAAAUCUGUAAUUUUUGGAGAAUUGGUUCCAAUUAGAAUUCCAGGUUUGUUUUCCAGCAUUUGGUAAAGGGUAAUAUUCAGUUUAAAAGGGGUUUACUAAAAAAAAAAAAAAAAAAAAAAGGGAGUUUGUGCAUUUUAGAGGUCUUGCAUGUCUAGAUCUAGAGAAGCUAGGGUGAAUUAUGUAAUUUCCGGAAAUUUUGCAUCAAAUCAAUUUUAACUGAGUUUUCUGCAUUAAUCUGAAUUUAAGUUAAGUUAAGGGUCGAUUUUCAUGAAAGUAUGAAUUUUUGAACUUUAGGGUAUAUUGCAUGUAUGAGUCUUGAACUUUGGGGGCAGAACUGUAAUUUUUAGAAGUUCAGGGGUGUUGUGCUGAAAACCCGAAACCUCCAAAACUAAUAUGGUUCCUUGAUCUUGGAAUUUAAUUGAAAUUAGGUAGCUUAAGGAAAGAUAGAAGAUAGGUUGAUCCUUAAUAAGUGGGUGUUAUAUUCUUGGAUGAAUAUGUGUGAAUACACAAUUUGAUCAUGGUUAGUCUUUUGUGAAAUAUGUGUUUAAUUGUCACUUGAUUGAUAUUUGUGAUGUUUUGUGACUUUUAUAUUUCUUAUGGGCUAUUGUGGAAUAUUGAUAACCUUAUGUACUCAACCGAAAUUCUUAAUACUUCUGCCGUGCCAUUUUGUAAUUAAAUGAAAUAAAUUGGGGAAUUAAUGAAAUACUUAGAAAAGAUGAGAAAGGAUACGGGGGGCCGGUAUUCCAACCAUAGAUACUAUAGUUGGGUGGUUUGAUUCCACCAAAACGGGCUCAGAAUAAUCUUCUCGUGUUCUAAGUAAAGAAGUUGAUUUCUCAUCGGAUCCGAUAAAAAUGAAGAUUUCUUAUGUUUCUAUAGUUAAUGAACUAUAUGUACUAGAAAUGUAAAUUGUGUUAAUUGUUGUUGCGCUUGUGCUAUUAUUAUAUAGUAUAUGUAGUACGACUAUAUUUUUAAAUUCUUGGUAUCUUUCGAUAACCUUACUGAGCUUUGUUAGCUCAUAUAGAUAUUCUCCGUUUGCAGGUACUAGUACUACUCACUCCACCGGAUUGGACUAGUCGACGCUUCGAGAGGACGAUUCCGGGUUUUUGGUUCGUAUGGAGGAUCUACUUAUAAUGCUUGUAGUGUUAUCUUUUGUGUACAUUGUCCUUAGGACAAUUACGAUUUCUAUAGUAGCUCAUGUGUAUUAUUAUCCGUGGUAAAGGAGACUAAGUUCUCCGAAUGUGGGCCCCUUUUUGUUAAACUAUGGUCCACCUAUUAAUAUGUAGUUUUAAUGAUGGACUUUAACUCUUUUCCUCUGUUUUAUCAAGGUGACACCACAUAGAAG